GGUUCUAGCUCAGUUGGUAGAGCGUUUGCCUUACAUAUGUGAGACACUGGAUUUGAUCCUCAGCACCACAUAAAAACAAAUAAGUAAAAUAGAGUUAUCAUGUCCGUCUAAAACUAAAAUAAAUAAAAAUGUUUGGGGCUGGGGAUAUAGCUCAUUUGGGAGAGUGCUUGCCUCACAUGUACAAGGCCCUGGGUUCAAUCCCCAGCACCA
rnacentral:tRNA from 1 species